UUCUGGGUGACGAAGAAAAUCAUUCGGAUUCCCACUGAUUUAGCAAUAUGAUUUUAAGAACCAGCUACUUCUGACAGAU
rnacentral:snoRNA from 1 species